AAAACGUCCCUGCUGUUGCGUUGCCGGAGUUCUGACAGCCGGAAAACCUCACUGCCGCUGUGGUUGUAGUCCACUGUAUGGCCGCCGGAGAAAACCGCCUUGGCCGCUGAAACCACCGCCGUCGCGGUUGUCAUGGUCGGAAUUCGUCUCCACUGCUGCUUGAGGUGGCUGCCGGGCUGCCGCUGAACCGGUUUGAAGACCGCCAUUGUUCCGGUUCAGCCGUUCCUCCUUCGAUUCGAGUUGUUGAGACUGUUGCGAAAGUGGCUUGGAGCUGAGGUUUUGGUUGCC